CCCCAGUGGCGGGCUGCUAUACAUGCAAGUCGAGCGGACAGAAGGGAGCUUGCUCCCGGAUGUUAGCGGCGGACGGGUGAGUAACACGUGGGUAACCUGCCUGUAAGACUGGGAUAACUCCGGGAAACCGGAGCUAAUACCGGAUAGUUCCUUGAACCGCAUGGUUCAAGGAUGAAAGACGGUUUCGGCUGUCACUUACAGAUGGACCCGCGGCGCAUUAGCUAGUUGGUGAGGUAACGGCUCACCAAGGCGACGAUGCGUAGCCGACCUGAGAGGGUGAUCGGCCACACUGGGACUGAGACACGGCCCAGACUCCUACGGGAGGCAGCAGUAGGGAAUCUUCCGCAAUGGACGAAAGUCUGACGGAGCAACGCCGCGUGAGUGAUGAAGGUUUUCGGAUCGUAAAGCUCUGUUGUUAGGGAAGAACAAGUGCAAGAGUAACUGCUUGCACCUUGACGGUACCUAACCAGAAAGCCACGGCUAACUACGUGCCAGCAGCCGCGGUAAUACGUAGGUGGCAAGCGUUGUCCGGAAUUAUUGGGCGUAAAGGGCUCGCAGGCGGUUUCUUAAGUCUGAUGUGAAAGCCCCCGGCUCAACCGGGGAGGGUCAUUGGAAACUGGGAAACUUGAGUGCAGAAGAGGAGAGUGGAAUUCCACGUGUAGCGGUGAAAUGCGUAGAGAUGUGGAGGAACACCAGUGGCGAAGGCGACUCUCUGGUCUGUAACUGACGCUGAGGAGCGAAAGCGUGGGGAGCGAACAGGAUUAGAUACCCUGGUAGUCCACGCCGUAAACGAUGAGUGCUAAGUGUUAGGGGGUUUCCGCCCCUUAGUGCUGCAGCUAACGCAUUAAGCACUCCGCCUGGGGAGUACGGUCGCAAGACUGAAACUCAAAGGAAUUGACGGGGGCCCGCACAAGCGGUGGAGCAUGUGUUUAAUUCGAAGCAACGCGAAGAACCUUACCAGGUCUUGACAUCCUCUGACAACCCUAGAGAUAGGGCUUUCCCUUCGGGACAGAUGACAGGUGGUGCAUUGGU
rnacentral:rRNA from 1 species